CUUUCUUUCCCAGGCUGGCGCUGAGAUGGGCAGGUGCUGCAGCAGCCCCGCUGGAAGCGAUGCAGCAUCCAGAACGACGGAGGAAGGGGCGGAGAGGGACCUCUGCUUUCCAGGCUGCCUUUUAUACUGCCUCUGGUCACCUGACAUGGAACGUACCCUAACCUAAUCAGUUACCUGUACCUUAAUUGCAAUUAACUUAAUCCAGUUACAUGACCUGGAAAGGUCUAUCUGCACAGCCCACUCUAAGAUCCUGUCCACUGCUGACAGACAUUCUAAAACCUACUUGUACAGCUGCAAGCUUUGAACAAUAGAUGUUCCCCGUCAGACAUGUAACACUGGUGCCUGUAUCCCUGUCUUCUUUUCCAUCUUUUUUGUUGUUUUGUUUUGUUUCGUUUUAAAAAAUGUGGUAAAAUAGACACCUUUUAAUUGGACCACAUUUUGUCUCUCUCGACGUAGGCCUCAGUGUCAUCAAGGAGACUCUCCUUGACAUGCAGUCACGGCCAUGAUCCAUCUUCAGAGCUUCUCUUUCUUCCCCAAGGUAAGUCUGUCAGCAGAGAACCCUGACCGCACCCUCAUGUGUUUUCUCCCCCAGGAGGCGCUUGGAAACCACCGUGAAUUGGACCGCACUGGGAAACACAGAUGAGGAAAGUCAACAACGCUUUGUCCUUCAGUGCCUGGCUCCUUUUUCAGCUCGUCUUGCGACUCCCGGACGCCUGUGAGGCUCUAAUUCCCUGGGUCCCAUUGCCAUGUCUCUGGAUUUGCGAAGAUCCACCGCACCUUCUGUGGAACUCCCGUGUCGGUGAACUUUUGUGCCACGGCCCCUAAUUCUGCCCAUGGUCAUCCGCACCUGCACGACUUAGGGUCCAUGUUCCUUGGACGGGAAGAGACAGGCAGGAGUCGGAAUGAUGAACCAGCACACUGGGGCGUUUUCUCAUGUAGCCCAAGUGACCCCAUGGUCUUCUCGAGCUUUGGAACCAGUCGCGUCCCCUUUGACACUGCACCCGGCUCCCAGUCUCUCAAUCUUGUUGGCCCUCCGGCGAUCUCCCGUUGGAUGAAUUGCUCCUGCUGAAACUCCAGUCCCCUUUGAUUUACGCUUCAUUAAUUAUUCAUGAUUCAGGUUGGAAGGCCUGCUGACGACCCCCUGUGGCCGUUCUCUGAGCUUUCCUGUCACAUCGUUUCCUUCCACGCUCUUUGGUUCCUUAUGGUCCUGCUCCCUCUGCUGUCAGAGGAGCAGAGAGUUGAUCUUAUUCAUUCUGGAUACGGAUACUUUCUAGGUGAUCUGGAUAAUCAAGAUAACGACCCUCAACAGCGGCGGAGAGGGAGCAGCCAGUUGGUGUGUCUCAGAAAAUCCCACUGAGUUCCGAGGCCUCCUAGAUGUGGAAUCCUGCUGAGAGUUGUUCCCAGGUCAGAGAAUGGAGAGAGCCUGUGCAUGAUGGGAUAUCCCCGCCUAGAUCUUUCAGUGAGUCUCUACCUCAGCUACUCUUAGGAUCAGGGGGAGAACCAUGGUGUCAGACAUCCGGAAAGAAGACGGGAUGAAUGUUUUACCUCUGAAGUACAUCCCAAAUGUGGGAGUUAACUUCAGCUUUGCUGGGGUCUAUUUGGCCAGUGAAACUCUGCCUGGUUCCUUCGCACAUCCGGAAGCCACUUCACGGGGGGCCGUCGCAACUGGAACCACACACUUGGCAUCGGCGGUUGAGCCAAAUGGGGACUCGUGGUGCAAGCAACGCUCCCCACGUGUUAGCGUGCGUGAGAUGCGGUUGGCGGAAUUUUACUAGGUGCGUGUUGGUAGAGUGGGGCUGAGGUUUUCUUGCUCCUGUGGAUGUAUAGCAAGUCAAAGGUCCUGCCCAGCCCUGCGGUCCCCUCAGUCAACUCUGUUUCGGAGACGUAACGAUUUGGAUUGCCAACAAGUCAAGAAAUGUUCAAGCCCUUGGAUGUAGGGUAAAGAAAGAGAGAUCAGACUGUCACUGUGUCUAUGUAGAAGGGGAAGACAUAAGAGACUCCAUUUUGAAAAAGACCUGUAGUUUAAACAAUUGCUUUGCUGAGAUGUUGAUCAUUUGUAGCUUUGCCGCAGCCCCUUCCUUUGACCCAACUUGGAGCUCACAAAAACCUGUGUUGUAUAAAAUCGAGGUUUAAGGGAUCUAGGGCUGUGCAGGACGCGCCUUGUUAACCAAAUGUUUACGAGCAGUAUACUUGGUAGGAGUCAUUGCCAUUCCCUAGUCUCAAUAAACCAGGGGCGCAAUGCACCGUGGAAAGCCACAGGGACCUCUGCCCUUGAAAGCAGGUUAUUGUCCAAGGUUUCUCCCCAUGUGACAGUCUGAAAUAUGGCCUCGUGGGAUGGGAAAGACCUGACUGUCCCCCAGCCUGACACCCGCAAUGGGUCUGUGCUGAGGUGGAUUAGUCAAAGAGGAAAGCCUCUUGCAGUUCAGAUGGAGGAAGGCCACUGUCUCCUGCUUGCCCCUGGGAACUGAAUGUCUCGGUGUAAAGCCCGAUCGUACAUUUGUUCAACUCUGAGCUCGGAGAAAAGCUGCCCUGUGGCGGGAGGCGAGACAUGUUGGCAGUAAUGCUGCCUUGUUAUUCUUUACUCCGCUGAGAUAUUUGUGUGGAGAGAAACAUAAAUCUGGCCUACGUGCACGUCCAGGCAUAGUACCUUCCCUUGAACUUAAUAAUGAUAUGGAUUCUUUUGCUCACGUGUUUGUUUUUGUUGUUGCUGUUGAACUUCCCCUUAUUAUCACCCUGCUCCCCUACUGCAUUCCUUUGUGCUGUAAUAAUGAUAAUCAUAAUCAAUAAAAACUGAGGGAACUCAGAGGCCGGUGCCGGUGCAGGUCCUAGGUGUGCUGAGUGCCGGUCCCCUGGACCCACUGUUGUCUCCCUAUA
rnacentral:lncRNA from 1 species